rnacentral:lncRNA from 1 species
CGGCUACUCCGUCACCGUCUAUGACCGAACCCCGUCAAAGGCCGCCCCUCUCCAAUCCAAAGGGGCCCAUCUGGCUCCCUCCGUCGCCGACCUCGCCCGUGCAAGUGAUGUCGUCUUCACGAUGCUGGGACACCCAUCAGAUGUUCGACAAAUUGUGCUAGAGAACCUUGUCCCUUCUCUCAAUCCCAACGGAGUCAUUAUUGAUCACACUAGCAGCCACCCCACCCUGGCUAAGCAGAUUUAUGAUUCUGCCCUUGAAAGACACUGCCACUCCGUUGACGCCCCAGUUUCCGGAGGCGACAUCGGAGCGAGAGAUGGCAAAUUGGCGAUAUUAGCCGGGGGAGAUGAGGAUGUUGUGAAGUGGUUAAAACCACUGUUUGAUGAAAUGGGGAGGGUGACUUAUGUUGGCGGCCCUGGGAAGGGACAGCAUUGUAAAAUAGCGAAUCAGAUAACCGCUGGGGCGAAUUUACUUGGGCUGAGUGAAGGGCUGGUUUUCGCGGAUAAAGCCGGUUUGGACAAAUUGAAGUUUGUGGAGGCUGUGAGAGGCGGUGCAGCUGGAUCAAUGGUGAUGGAGUUGUUCGGGGACAGGAUGAUCAAGAAGGACUUCAAGCCUGGUGGGGUCGCGGAAUAUAUGGUGAAGGACUUGGGAAUGGGAGUGGAUGUUGGGGAAGAGGAAGGGGGUGAAGUGGUGGUAUUGCCUGGCGCUGCAUUGACUAAACAAUUGUUUGCUUCUAUGGUGGCUAAUGGGGGUGGGAAGCUGGGCACCCAGGGGCUAAUAUCUGUCAUUGAGAAGAUCAAUGGCAGUUAAGAUAACAAAGUGAAAUCAUAGCCUCAAGCAAAUAUCAAGUUGAGGUUCUGUUUGCCAGGAUAGCACACUAGCUGAGCUUGUUUAUGUAAUGUAAUUUUAAUCUAAACCUCUACAAGGGCUCACGUAGCUUUUGAGGCUGGACGUGGUGAUGGCGUACAAACUGUAAAAUAAAACUCGGAGAAGGGGAAUAUGUGAUGGUUAAAAUUAGCGAUGUCUACGUGUUUGCUUUUCGGUUUAUAUCAGAUUAAAGUCGAAGUAGUGAAUUACAAUUGGGUGGCAAGAGAAGUUCUCGAGGCUUUCAUUCAUAUUCUUCAACUCAGAAAUUGAUCAAACCCAAAAGAACUACCAGUUAAAAGCGCAAAAGAAAAAAAAAAUACCCACGGAAUUACACUCCUCGAUUAUUUUGUAGUAGAAUUAUGGAAAAAUGGAGUACUUCGACCCACAAUUGAGGAAAAAAGAGAUUGAUUUUUAUUGAGUUAGUUGAAGAAGGGUUGAAUGUCAAAUGUGUACAUCCAAUUACCAAAAAAAAAAAAAAGAACCAUCUCUUCAAUUUGUUUUAUAUCUAUAUAUAUAACGAAAAUUGGGACCCUGACGAGUAUAAACCCGUUAAAUAAAAAAUCUUACACGACUUAAAUUUAACAUAAUAGAACGACCAUCUUCACUCUUCAAACUUCAAUACCUUUCUUUCUGACUCCAAUUUUUGUUGAAUUUGAUUAAUUUCUUGUUUGAAUAUGAAAUUGGUCAAAAAAUUAAUAGUUUAAAUACUAAAAAUCUUAUACUAAUAAGAAUGAAAUGUAUCCAUGACCCAAAGUUUAGGAAUAAAAAUUGGCCUUUUCCCCCCUUUAUUACUUUAGAAACCCCCUUACUUCACUCCUCAAGCUUCUCUUUAUUUCGUCAUUUGAGAUCUGACUGUUUUUGCCCUAUUUCUUUUUUUUUUCUUAUCAGAUAAAAUUAAUCUUUUUAGACGUGAACAAGUAGGUAAAAAUAUGAUUAAAAUCACAUAUGUCAAAAAACUUGAUAAUUAGAUUUUGGAGAGAAUAAUUAAAGCAGAUUAUAGCAAAUCAAAUUAAGUGGCCUCCCAAAGUUCAUUAGUCUUUAGAUACUUGUAUAUCUUUUUGUAGCCUUUGAGGUAGAAGUCCUCAAAGGCUAGGAGUCCUAGCCACCGGCCCUUUGGCCUGGUGAUCACUGCCAAACAUUUAAGUCUUGGUAGUGUUGGGAGGUCAAGGUUCAAAUCUUGCUUCCCACCAAAUUGUCAUUAUAGGUGGCUGCUUUUAGUGACUUUCUCCGAUGGAGUUUCUACUCUCAUCGGCUCCCCCUCCUUAAUUAAAAUAGAUUAGAUUAUAGGAAUAUUAUUUUUGCGAUUAAAAAAAAAAAGGUAGGAGUCCUCAAGUCCCAAUUCUCAACUGAUUCCUUUGGAGGAACAAAAUUUUUGCCCUUGCCAAUCUUGGUGUUGAAAAGUUCCACCAGCCCCGGAUCCACGUUGAAAGAAGCUUGUAGCACCGAGGGAUCCAUUGCUUUCCCAAACUGAUGUUUCCCCAGCUAGCUCAGCAAAAUAUGGCCUGUAACAAACAUACAUAAAUGAUAGUAGUAAAUAGUAAAUAAUAAGAAUCUCCAACAAUUACUCCUUUUUUUUUAAAUGAAAAUAAGGAUUGUGAUUUUUUGCAGAAAAAUUUUUAUACUUUCUGUGAAUACAUUUCUUAAUCACCUUUUUAUCUCACAUGUAUCAAAAUUGCUACAAUACAUUUUUCUUAAAAAAAAACUAAAAAUAAGAAUCCAAACGGAAUUAUUAUCCUAUCUUUUCUAUUUCUGUGUUAUAAAUAAUUAUCUCCACCCCUUAUAAAUACUUCACAACUAGCAUUCUUACCCGUGCUAUGCACAGAUUUAUAUUUCAAUUAAAAACAAUAAUAUAUACUUAUAUAUUAUAGUAUAGGAUGAAAUAUAUGAAAAAAGCAAAAUAAUUCAAAAAAGUGUAUACUUAACAUGUUAAAAAAAGUUUAUUUCGUAAGUACAAAAUGGACUUUCUUAAUUUUAAUAUCUUAAAUAAGUUGAAACCAAAAUUUGUUUACCUAUUGUCUGUCAAUAUAUGAUAACAAUUUGAGUAAAAUAAUUUAAUUUAUAAUGAUUUACACGAUAGAGCAAUUGUAAACCUAUUUAUCAAUAUAUCAUGUUAUACCCAUAUAUCAAAAUUUUUAAUAUUUAAAACAUAAAUUUUAACUAAUUCAUUUUCCUCAAUUUUAGAAUAUUUUUUUCUCCCAUUUUAUAAUCCUAAAAUUGUUGAGUGCUUAUAAAAUAUUGUUCUUCAUAAACUUUAAUAUAGAUUUUAAAAAAAUCUUUGUAAGAUGUGUUUUUAAAGUUUUCAAAAUUAUUAAAAACUAUCACAUUUUCCAUCCUCCCUUAUUUGCUAAUUGGCUAUCGGUUGCUUUUUAUGACUUUCAAAUCUCUUACCACAUUAUCAUCUUUUCUGUCAUGUCCCUAUAGUCCCCUUCUUUCUUCUCUUCUCUCUUCAUCCAACCUCGUUGUAGUUCAUCUUCUUUUUUCGUCAUUCUUUAACUCCUUACUAUUCCUUUUUUUCCCUCAUAGUUAGUCUCUAGCUUCCUAUCCUUGACUUCCAAUAUUUCUCUAUUAUAUUUCUCUAUUAUUCAAAAUAUAACUUAACAUAUGUUUAUGUUACACUAUUAUAAAGUUGUAAGGAUCGAAGACAACCAAUCGAAAAGCCAAUCGAUAAGCAAUUAAAAGAUCACAAAUGUAACAGUAAGUAAAAGGAAAGAAUUGCAAACCAAUUAACUACCCAGCUCCUCUUGAGCUUCAAACAAGCUACUUCAAAUUGAUGAAUUACAAUCACUCUUGUGUACAAAGGAAGGUUCACCUCCUCCUUGCCCCGAACUCCCUCGGUCAAGCCAGGACGUUUUACUAUCCCUCAGGACAACCCUCACAGAGCUACACUCAUGAAGUAUUCACUCACAAAUGAAAAGCUUACAAUGAACCUCACACCACUAAGACUACAAAUCUUCUUUGAAGAGUAUUUUCUCACUAAAAUCUCUCUAGAUCUUUUGUAUCUUCAGUGUGCCAAAGUUGUUUGAAGUAUCUGACCAAUCACUAUUUAUAUAGGACCAAGAAAGAGUCUCAUUAAAGCUUCCAACGGAUAGAAAGUAGCUGAAGAGUCAACUAGCCGUUGGAGUGUCGAACGUCCGAUAGCCCUGUUUUAUGCGUCCGACAGCAGGCAGUGAGUUUCAGAGAUUUUCUUCAAUUCUUUCGGACGUCCGGUGCAAGCUCUUUGUGCUUCCGACAGCAAACAAACAGAUUUGAGAAAUUAUCUUGUUUCUAUCGGACGUCCGGUAGAAACAUAUUCAGCGUCCGAUAGUUUCGUCGACUUCGAAGGAUCCUAUCGGACGUCCGAAGCAUGCGUCCGAAAUUGUGCAAUGAUUAUCGGACGUCCGAUCCUGACUUCUUGAGCGUCCGACAGCUUCAGCAUACUUUGUCAUCUUUCAAUUGUACUUGAUCUUUGGAACUAAUUUGCUUCAUAACUGAAUAGAUCUUUUAAGAGACAUUAGUAACAUCCAUUUGUUUUGUAAACAUCAAAAGAUAGGGAUCAAGAUCAACAAAAGUAAAUUUCACUGGUAAAAACACCAAAUUUAGUUAUUUUUCAUAUUAAAUUUGAAUUGAAUGAUUUCAAAUUUUCAAAGAAGAAAUAUUGUCAUUGAAUCUACAUUCAACCUCCAAAUUGAAGAGUUAAAUUUUGAAACAAAAAAAAUUCCAUAACUUGUAGUUUGGUUUUACGAUUUUAAAAUAUACUUAUAUUUGUACUUUCAAAAUAACUUUGAAAAGAUAAAAUUUGAAGCAAAAGAAAAAAAGAAAAUCAUAACCUUCAAUUUGAUUUAAUAUUUUUACAAUAUAUUAACUUUACCUCUCACAAUAUGAAAAGCAUAUAAAACUUAAGAUUGAUCACAAUAGUUGCAAGUAUUGACAUUUAAAAAUGCAAAUGAAAAACUGAUAAUAUCUUAUAAAACCUUAACUACUACAAAAAAAUAUAUAAAAAUGACUUAACAAUUGCAUAUUUACAUAUGAAGAAAACAAUAAAAAUACAUAAAAUAAUUAAUCAUACCCAAGAUGAUUCUUAGCAUUUGGGUUUUGCACUCUUAUUCAUAUUUAAUUAAGGUCAAAUUUGGAUCAAAUAUAUACAAAUUUAAUAGAUAUAUAGUUUAGGGUCAAAAGUUCUAUAUGGUUUCUUUAAAUUGCAUUGUUAUUCUUUUUUAUUUUUGGUAGAAUUGGUGUUGUUUUUAUUAUUGUUUUUCAUCAAAAAUAGAGAUUUCAAAUAAAAAUUUUCAUGUUGAAAUGCUAGUAGUACUUUGCUUUUUAUUUAGUAAUUUCAUAAUUUAGCGUUCACGAAUGGUACCAUUCUUGAUUUUUUUCGAUCCAUGACCGAUGAAUAUUAUUUUCUUUUUUGUUUUCUAUAUAAUUUGCCUUUUUAGUUAGGAUUACUAAGUUGAAGGAUAAAAUAUUGUUAUUUACUUUUUACUUUGAGUAAGUUUAGUGAUGUUUCCUCUUUAUUUACCUCAUAUUAAUAGAUUUCAAAUCAAAUUCCUAUAUAAGUGGAUCCACUUCUUACUUUUUAAAUUCAAAAGACAUGAAAGGAUAUAUAACAAUUAAAAAAUUUUAAAAUUCUAUAUAAAAAGGAAAAGAAUAAGGAGUUAGAAGUAUUCUGAUUUAAUCAUCAUAAAAACCCUCCCUACAAUACAUAUAGAUUAUUUUAAGUCUUUCUCCAAAACUUUACGAGCAACUAUCACCCAAAUAUGAAAGUAAUAAGCUAACCAUUAGUACUCGCCUUGUUUUGAGCACGAAAGAAGUUCAAAUCUUCCUUCCAUUUUCCUUUUAAUCUUCAUUUGCUCCUCGUACCUCAAUUAUUCAAAAAAAAAAUUAUAUAUGGCAACAAGCUCAAUUGAAGCGCCAAUACUUUUUUUGAUUCGAUUCUAAGUCCCAUAAUUAGUUGCUGCUAUGACAAUCACCGGUGUAGAGACUUAUUGCACUUCUGUUCUAUGAAGCUUAGAUUGCAAAAUAUUGAUUCAAAGACUUUUCUUCUUUAGACAAAUUAUUAUGCUUUUUAUCUAUUUGUAUUAAGUUGAUUUUAAACUCCAUUAUAGAUUAGAUUUAGAAGGCUAUUUUCAUAUUUUGGUGAAUCAUCGAGUUUUUGAUCCAAACACCAAAAACUCCAAACCGACUGCAUAAUCAUGAUUUUGAAAAUGUGAAGCUGGAUAUUCAAAUUAAAAAUGAAAAUAAGGAUCCGAAUGUAAAUAAUUAUACGAGUCCCAUGGUUUACUUGGUUAACUUUAAGGGAUAAUGUCAAAAACCUCCCCUGAGGUUCCUAAAAAUUUCACUGAGCUCCUUUGAGGUAUGAAAAAUUUCACAUACCUCCUUUGUCAUUUAAAAUGAUAAUUUUACCCUUAAAUAUUUUAAUGAAAUUCCCUUAUUUGGUAUGCUUAUACUUAGAAUGAGUUUUAAAAUUAUUUUUUUAUUCUUUUUCCAUCUCAUUCCUUUUUUUUUAAUUUGUUGCCAAUAAAACUGUAGAAUUACUAUUAUUACUUCUAGUUUUAUUUGUAACCAAAUAUCGAACUAGUGAUUUUUUUGACGAGUUAAUUUUAUAUAUAAUCAAAUGUUUUUACUGAUCUUUGUUUUCUAUUUUUUGGUAUUAAAAUUAACAAUAAAUAAAAAAAAUAGCCAAAAUCACUACCAAAUUAUAAUAAUCCCACUACCCGAAAAAUUCAAAAAUUCUAAAUGAAUUAUUUCAACAUUUUCUUUUCUAUCUUAUAAAUCUAAAUCCAUAAUAAAGUACCAUCAAAAGUAUCUUAUCAUAGUGAUAAAAUUAUUAUUAUAAUUGUUUAUUAAAUAGUAGGUAUAGACAUGAAAAAUUUGGCACAUUUUUCUUAUAAUUAUACUAGAUAAUCUUAUAAUUGUAUAGAAAAAUAAAUUAAAACUCAUUACACAUGGGCAUUUUUGGAUAUUCAUUUAAAAAAUUGACCAAGUCAAUAUUAUUUUAAGAUUUUGUUACUAAAACUAUCAAAUCAAGGGAGGUAAGUAUAGUUAAUCAAACCUCAAGGGAGCUCAGUGAAAUUAUCAGAAACCUCAAGGGAGGUUUCUGAAAUUAUCCCUAACUUUAAUCGCUUCUCUCAUUACUGAUCAAGCAUCUUUACACACUUCCUCCUGCAGUUCACUCUCAUAGUCUCAUUGCUAAAGGAUGAGGGCCCCCUUCCCGACAACCAUAACCCCGACCCAAACCCGAAUAGGCUGGGUAGGCAUAGGCGUGAUGGGCUCCGCCAUGGCCUCCCGCCUCCUCUCUGCCGGCUACUCCGUCACUGUCUAUGCCCGAACCCCGUCAAAGGCCGCCCCUCUCCAAUCCAAAGGGGCCCAUCUGGCUCCCUCCGUCGCCGACCUCGCCCGUGCAAGUGAUGUCGUCUUCACGAUGCUGGGACACCCAUCAGAUGUUCGACAAAUUGUGCUAGAGAACCUUGUCCCUUCUCUCAAUCCCAACAGCGUUAUUAUUGAUCACACUAGCAGCCACCCCACCCUGGCUAAGCAGAUUUAUGAUUCUGCCCUUGAAAGACACU